UACGUAGGGGGCAAGCGUUGUCCGGAAUCAUUGGGCGUAAAGAGCGUGUAGGCGGCCCGGUCAGUCCGCCGUGAAAGUCCAGGGCUCAACCCUGGAAUGCCGGUGGAUACUGCCGGGCUGGAGUCCGGAAGAGGCGAGUGGAAUUCCUGGUGUAGCGGUGAAAUGCGCAGAUAUCAGGAGGAACACCAAUGGCGAAGGGCAGCUCGCUGGGACGGUACUGGACGCUGA
rnacentral:rRNA from 1 species